rnacentral:snRNA from 1 species
UGCCUUACCCGAUAGGGGAGAUCCCGCGAUCCUGUCAGCUGGUUGAGUGUAGUUAUAAGGUGAGGCCUGCCCCUGUACUCUGGGCAGGCUAACCCUUGUGAGAUUUCCCAAAUGUGGGAAACUCAGCUGCACAGUUUUGUGGUAAUGGGAGAUUGCCUUCUCGCUUUCCCCCU